GACGAACGCUGGCGGCGUGCUUAACACAUGCAAGUCGAACGGAAAGGCCCUGCUUUUGUGGGGUGCUCGAGUGGCGAACGGGUGAGUAACACGUGAGUAACCUGCCCUUGACUUUGGGAUAACUUCAGGAAACUGGGGCUAAUACCGGAUAGGAGCUCCUGCUGCAUGGUGGGGGUUGGAAAGUUUCGGCGGUUGGGGAUGGACUCGCGGCUUAUCAGCUUGUUGGUGGGGUAGUGGCUUACCAAGGCUUUGACGGGUAGCCGGCCUGAGAGGGUGACCGGCCACAUUGGGACUGAGGUACGGCCCAGACUCCUACGGGAGGCAGCAGUGGGGAGUAUUGCACAAUGGGCGGAAGCCUGAUGCAGCAACGCCGCGUGCGGGAUGACGGCCUUCGGGUUGUAAACCGCUUUCGCCUGUGACGAAGCGGGAGUGACGGUAAUGGGUAAAGAAGCACCGGCUAACUACGUG
rnacentral:rRNA from 1 species